AAAAUGCACGCUGAUGACAAACAUCACAGCGUUGCCCAUCUCCUGCAAAUUUCUUUGCUUUUCUGGAAAUUUUCGUUAGGAAGUGAGUGACAUGGCGAAGUAAUCAAACUCCAUAACAAACACCUCUCAGGACUGCUCUGGUAUAAGAGGAGAGGAAUGCAGGAAGCCACAAGUUCAUGGAGUAGUGGCAUGGACACUGCAGCAGGAAUUAACUGAUUGUCCAACUACGUGUUUGUUAACUUCAACUAAGGCAGGCCAGAUAGAUGUUUGUUUUGGUUAGAUAUGCAACAUUACUGUUGCCAGGACACUCAAGUUGCCUAUUUUCAAUUAAUUGUUAUUUCCAUAUACUAGAAAGUUGAUCUAAGUAAUUUGGAGCUUUAAGUGGCCCAGACAUGUCUUCAUUUUUACUUUUGUUUACAUUAAUACAGUUAUGAUAAUUUUUCUUUCUUCUUUUUUUUAUGUAAAAGGGUAACUGGCCAAGGGAAACAAAACUGUAAAAAAAAAUCCCACUUAGGGGCCAGUCCCAAAAGAGAUGUCAAGAGAAUCAUAAAAAUUUGAAGGAUAAGUGUCUUGAAACCUCCCUCUUGAAAAAAAUUCAGGUCAUAGGAAGGAGGAAAUACAGAAGCAGGCAGGGAGUUCCAGAGUUUACCUGAGAAAAGGAUGAAUGACAGAGAAUACCGGUUAACUCUUGCAUUAGAGAGGUGGACAGAACAGGGAUGAGAAAAAAAAAGAAACUCUUGUGCAAUGAGGCCUUGGGAGGAGGGAAGGCAUGCAGUUAGCAAGAUCAGAAGAGCAGCAUGAAAGCAGAGAUAGAAAAUAGCAAGAGAUGCAACACUGCAGUGAUGAAAAAGAGGCUGAAGACAGUCAGUUAUAGGAGAGGAGUUGAUGAAACAAAAAGCUUUUGAUUCCACCCUGUCUAAAAUAGUGGUAUGAGUGGAACCCCCCAUACAUGGUGUACUCUUUUUGAAAUCUCAAGAUGACCAAAUAAAUCUAAAUGCCAAUUAACUAGAGAAUUGAAAAUCAACUUAUACUUUUAUUCAUGAAUACAGUUUGAUUUUACCUGUGGUACUACUUAGAAGAAAUUGUGUAGAAAAGUAGAUUAUAUAAGCUCAUUGCAUCUUUAUGUAUAUAGAAUGACUCUUAAGCAUAUUUGAUAUUGCUCCUAUGUGUGAGAAGGGGACAUGUCUAGUGCUGCCACCUGGUGACACUCACUAGUUUACCAAACUCCCCAUUUUGGGACAUAGUCUAUACUACAGUUAGUUGAAGGAAGGAAGGGUGCCAAGAGAAUGGAAAAGAGUUAUCAUAGUGUCCAUAUGCAAAGGAGAAAAUAAAAUGGAACCAUUGUCACUGACUAGUGUUAUAAGUAAAUUCUGAAAUAAUAACUAAGGACAGAUAAUUGAAAUAUCUGGAAGACAAUACAGUAAUACCCAAUGGACAAAAAACUCAGAAAAGCAAGAUCUUGCAUUAACCUACUGUGUUUUAUACAAGAGUAAUAUAUGUGGUAGUGCAAGAGAAAGAUGGAUGGGUCAGUGCUGUGCAUUUAGAUUAAAAAAAAAAAAAUCUUUUGUAGAAGUUGGAAAAUAUAGAAUGGCUAAAGUGAGCAUUACUGUGUUAGAUGAAAGACUUUCUACAAAAUCAAGAAAUGAGAACAAUAAGCAGAGACACUAUAGUGGAACCAGAUUAACUUGGUACUUAGGAUGUUGCUAUACCUCUCGGUGCUGUUGCUACCUCAACCCUGGAGUGACCUGACCUGACCUGACCAUGGCCAGCAGGGCUCAGCAUGGGAGAUUCACAUGUCAAGGACACUGGGAUAGCAGCACUGCAUGGCCUAUACACAUUGUCAAUUGUAUAUACAGCAUCAUUGUUCCAUCAUCAAAUCAAAUGCCAUUAAAAAAUAAUUACAGACGUAUCUUGGUACUCGACCAUAAUCCGUUCUGAGGUGGUGGUCGAGCACCGAUUUGUUCGAACACCGAAACCAAUUUUCCCAUAAGAAAUAAUGGAAAGUAUUUUAAUCCAUUCUUACCAUUAAGAAAAAUACCUAAAAUAUUAUAAGAACGUGUAUCUAAACAACAAUAAAACGUAAAUGUGCACAAGCAGUACAUGAUAAAGAUAAAUAAAGCAUUAUAAACCA